rnacentral:lncRNA from 1 species
AAACUACCCUUCAUAGGAAACUUACAUCAGAUUAUCAGCAGAUCAUUGCCCCAUCAUCUCUUCAAAAUUUUGGCAGAUAAAUAUGGACCUCUAAUGCACCUUAAACUAGGAGAGGUACCAUACGUAAUAGUUAGUUCACCAGAAAUUGCCAAAGAGAUUAUGAAAACACAUGAUCUCAACUUUUGUGAUAGGCCAAACCUUCUUUUGUCUACAAUAUUUAGUUACAAUGCUACUGAUGUUAUAUUUUCGAUGUAUCGAGAAUGGUGGAGGGAACUACGAAAGAUAUGCGUUAUAGAACUAUUAAGUGCAAAGCGCAUCCAAUCAUUUAGGUCUAUAAGAGAAGAUGAAGUGACAAAUCUUGUUAAAUCAAUAACUUUUAAGUGAAGGAUCAGUUGUUAAUCUCAGUGAGAAGAUUUUCUCAAUGACAUAUGGGAUAACAGCGAGGGCGGUUUUUGGGAAAAGGAAUAGACACCAAGAUGUGUUCAUACCAGCAUUGGAGAAAGUAGUGGUGCUAUUAGGAAGAUUUGAAAUUGCAGAUUUGUAUCCUUCUAUUAAAUUGCUUCAAUGGAUGACUAGGGAGAAGACCAAAAAUGUUAUAUUUUAAAUAAGAAACUUUGUUGAAGAAGUUAUUUCAAAAAUCUAGCAUUAAAGUUGUUUAAUGCUGAAAAUGAUUGAAGUAUAAAUAUGAGAAUUUUUUCUGACCCCAAACGUUUAAAAAAAAAAAAAAGUGUCUAUACUUUGUUCAGAUUUAAUGAUAAAAACACGUUUGUCAUAAAAAUGGUUCACCGGUGAUAAGUUCGCAAGAUGUGUCUUAUAACAUAAAAAACAUAAUGCUAUGUUUGCCGGUUAUUUUUACAACAGAAGCAUUUUUAUCAUUAAAUCUUAACAAAGACUAAAAGAGCAUACACAUGCAUUAUUAUUUUUUGUUUGGGGGUUAGAAAAAAAAAUCUAAAUAUGAAAAAGAACAUUCUUAGAGAAUCUUUGCAAAAAGGGUAGAUUAAAAGCUUGUUGAAUCCAAUUAAUUUUCCAGCACCAUAUCAAAGUUUUCAUUUAGACCAAUGAGAGAGAGCUCCACAAAGCAUCAUUAACAAAAAUGGUAUUGUUUCACGAGUUUGAAAGACUUUUUGGUAUUUUUUUCACGUUCACAUGACACCAAAAGACAAAAAUGUACUACCAUACCACUUUUAGAAAUUUUUAGGUGGCAACGUAAAAGAAGAUAUCUUUCUGACGAGUUUUACACGACGUUUGAAGGUUAUGUUUGCAUAGAACCCCAACUUCAAUUGAUAAUAUAUAUAAUGAAAGCUCAACAGACAUAAGCAUAAGGUGUUUUGGAAAUUUGUCCAUAAUCCAAAAAUAAUUCAGAUUUUUUAUUCCGGUAAGGAUGAUUGAUUGGGUGAUAAUAAUGACAUAUAAUUACAAGUCUACCUAAACCCUAUUUUUUAUUCUUGUGUAGUGGUUGUUUUAUUUUGACUCCACAAGCACACCUUGUUCUUCAUGUGUGUGUGUCUUUUUAUUAAAUUGCUUUGGAUUGGAUGGUAUCAAUAUUUUUAAUUAUAUGUGAUUAUUGGAGCUCCUAUUUUUGACCACACAAGGCACACCUUAUUCCUUCAUGUGUGUCUUUAUUAAACUGCUUUGUAUUGCAAAUAUAUAAAAAUAUUAAAAAACAGGCACAUGGUUGGUGCAAGGUGAAAAUGUUAUUUAUAAUAUUUCUUUACAUUAGAACGUGUAUCUUAAUGUUAAUACUGUAUUGAUUUUAUAUUAGUAUUUAGUUGUGUAUUAAUUAACAUGUCUGCAUUGUAUUGAAAUUGCAAGUGAUCGAAUUUUGAGCGUUUUGAAGAGAAACCUUGUUUGUCAAGGCACUCUUUGGAUUCUUUAGAUCAAACAACCAACAUGGAGCUUCACAACCCUUUUUCUAAUAUCAUCUUCAUGCUCUCCUUUCUCAUCCUCUUAGUGCUAUUCAAAAUAGUUAAAAGAUGGAGUUUUAACAAUUCCACUACCAAAUUGCCACCUGGACCAUGGGAACUACCCCUCAUAGGAAACUUACAUCAGAUUAUCAGCAGAUCAUUGCCCCAUCACCGCUUCAAAAUUUUGGCUGAUAAAUAUGGACCUUUAAUGCACCUUAAACUAGGAGAGGUACCAUACAUAAUAGUUAGUUCACCAGAAAUUGCCAAAGAGAUUAUGAAAACACAUGACCUUACCUUUAGUGAUAGGCCAAACCUUCUUUUGGCCACAAUAUUAACUUACAAUGCUACUGAUGUUAUAUUCUCUAAAUAUGGAGAACGGUGGAGGCAACUACGAAAGAUAUGUGUUGUAGAGCUAUUAAGUGCAAAGCGUGUCCAAUCAUUUAGGUCCACAAGAGAAGAUGAAGUAUCAAAUCUUGCUACAUCAAUAACUGCAAGUGAAGGAUCAAUUGUUAAUCUCACUCAUAAGAUUUUCUCAAUGACAUAUGGGAUAACAACGCGGGCGGCUUUUGGCAAAAGGAGCAAACACCAGCAAUCGUUUAAAUCAGCAGUAGAGGAAAUAGUAAGUUUGUUGGGAGGCAUUUGUAUUGUUGAUUUGUAUCCUUCUAUUAAAUUGCUUCAAUGCGUGAGUAGGGCGAAGGCCAAAAUGGAAAAACUUCACAAAGAGAUUGAUAUGAUAUUGCAAGACAUUAUCGACGAUCACAAAAGCAUUCACAAGGAAGAUAGCAAUGAAGAAUAUCUAGUAGAUGUUCUUCUCAAGAUUCAACAGGAAAAUUAUCACUCACAACAUCCUUUAACCGAUGACAAUAUAAAGUCAAUCAUCCAGGUUAGUCAACAAUCAAAAGUGUUAGAAAGUUUAUUUCAAAAUUAAAAACUAGUUUAUAAAUUUGCAUAUAUGCUUAGAAGUCAGAUUUCCUAGAGGAAGAAAAUAAGAUUAUCUUGAUUAAUAAUAGUAUUUUGGUGAGAACAUCAUAUUAAUGACUUAACUUUUGUUUAGAGAAAUAGAUCGUGUUAAUGUUAAUCCAUUUGUAGGACAUAUUCGAUGCUGGUACCGAAACAUCGUCAACGACUGUGUUAUGGGCGAUAUCUGAGAUGGUAAAGAAUCCAAAGGUGAUGGAAGAAGCACAAGCUGAGGUAAGAAGAGUUUUUGAUAGGAAGGGGUUUGUGGAUGAGACAGAGUUGCACCAAUUGAUAUACUUAAAAUCUGUGAUCAAGGAAACAAUGAGGCUACAUCCAACCGUACCGUUGUUACUUCCAAGAGAAAGUAGGGAGAGAUGCCAAAUCAAUGGGUAUGAAAUCCCAGCUAAGACAAGGGUCAUGGUUAAUGCUUGGGCUAUUGGAAGAGAUCCAAGGUAUUGGGUUGAUGCUGAAAGUUUUAAACCUGAGAGGUUUGUUAAUAGUCCAAUUGAUUUCAAAGGCACAGACUUUGAAUACAUACCAUUUGGUGCUGGAAGAAGGAUGUGUCCCGGAAUUGCAUUUGCCUUACCCAACGUUGAAUUGCCUCUUGCUAGUUUACUUUACCACUUUGAUUGGAAGCUUCCCAAUAAAAUGAAGAAUGAAGAACUAGAUAUGACCGAGUCAUUUGGGAUUACUGCAGGUAGAAAGCACAAUCUAUGCUUAAUUCCUAUUACUCGUCGUCUUUAAUAUGUAUUGUCUAAGCAAACAAGUUCAGAAACGACGUUCCUAAUAAAAUUUGUAUUGGUUAUCUUUACGUAUAGGUUCACUAUAUGUUGUCUAAAAUUUGUGUAUGAUAUUUGUUCCACAAACAAAUAUAGAAUUUAUGUUGAAAGGAAGUUGCGAACUAUUUGUACAGUAUUGUGUAAUACAUUAACCAGAGAAGAAUCUUUUCCUUGACUGCCAAGGAAGAAAUCCACCUAAAAUCGAUAGCAUAUGAAGAAUGAAGAAGGGUUGUGAGGCAAUCAACAUCACACAAGUAACUUACCUUAAAAAAAUAGAGAAACAAUAAAUCAAUGAGAAGUAAUUAACAAUGCUUAUAUAGGACCAUAAUCAUAAAUAUAUAAAAAUGCUAAAUCCAUAUUAAUGGUUAUGAAAUCUAAUUCUUCCUCUCUGUUAAUCUUGUACUUUACACUAAUAGUGGUAGCUUUCCCUAUAUGGGUCUUAUAACAAUAACAUAAAAAACAUAAUGCUAUGUUCGCCAGUUCAUUUUUACAACAGAAGCAUUUGUAUCAUUAAAUCUAAAUAUGAAAAAGAACAUUCUUGGAGAAUCUUUGCAAAAAGGGUAGAUUAAAGGCUUGUUGAAUCCAAUGAAUUUUCCAGCACCAUUUCAAAGUUUUCAUUUAGUCCAAUGAGAGAUCAACAAUGCAUCAUUUACAAAAAUUGUAUAUUGAGAAUGUGAUAUAUAUAUAUACACGAUGCAAUAAACACUUGCCAACUGUAUUUUGAAAUCUUCGCUAUGCUAUCUCUCGCUGUAAAUAGCAUUUUCCUAUAAUUAAUUUGGCAUAAAAGUCUAAUCAUGAUUAUGUUUCGUGUGAUACAUGAGUGCUUGGAAAGAUUAGUGUUAGGAAAGAGUGAUAUUACAAAUGAGUGAAUCAACCCACUAAUGGGAUGGUUACAACCAUAUAUACUACUACAAGACUAAUACUAAUUGUGUCUAAACUAUAUCUCUAAUAAUUAGUGAUAGUUGAGAUGAAAGUUUUCUCAACUAUCAGAUCUUCUUUCUUAGAUCACCCUUUGAUCUUUACAUAAGAAAAAUGCUAUUUACAGCGAGAGAUAACAUAGCGAAGAUUUCUAGAUACAGUUGGCAAGUGUUUAUUGCAUCGUGUAUUUGUUUACUUCCUAUUUUUCAGCCACACCUCCUUGAAUUGUGUCAAAUAGCACAUUGUGAUUGGCUGCUCUUUAUUCUUGAAGAGAUCGUGAUGUUAUUUUUCUAGAGAUAUAGCAUUGCUCUUAAUUAUGUUCGCAUAGUAGCCCUGUCUCUUUUGAGGCAAGGGCGAGGGUUUGGUUGUUGCUCUCGUAGUUGCACUCUUAUCCUUUGAAGUUGAUAAAUGAAACCAACUUCAAUUGACAACAUAAUGAAAGCUCAACAGACAUAAGCAUAAGGUGUUUUGGAAAGUGGCCAUAGUCCAAAAUUAAUUCAGUUUUUUUUUUUAUUUCUUUUCCGGUAAGAAUGAUUGAUUUGGUGAUAAUGACAUGACAUAUAAUUACAAGUCUAACAAGACCCUAUUUGAAAAAAGAUAGAUUACCAAAUGGAGUGCUGAAAUCACUAGUGUCUUUUGGUUUAACUAUGUAGUGUUACUAUUAAUUUUUACUAUUUUUACACUAAGCUCUUCAAAAUGUUAGUGGAUGAUUUUUUCAUGUGCAUAAUACAAAAAAUAUGAAAUUUGCAUGAGUCAGCCUAAAAUUGAAAGGAUCAAUUUAAUAAGCCCUUGAAGACGGGAAGAUGACAAUCGAGUCUGGCAUGGUGUGCUGCAAUUUAAUUAACUCUUAAUCGCAAAUUAUUAAUGUGAUGGUGUUGUUUGUUUUAUUUUGACUCCACUAAGUACACCUUGUUCUUUAUAUGUGUGUGUCUUUCUACUAAGUUGCUUUGGAUUGGAUGGUAUCAAUAUUUUUUAAGUAUAUGUGCUUAGGUUGUUCUAUUUUUGACCACACAAAGCACACCUUAUGAUUCAUGUGUGUCUUUAUUAAAUUGCUUUGCAUAUAUUAAAAGAAAUAAAAAUAAACAACAGGCACAUGGUUGGUGCAAGGAGAAAAUGUUAUUUAACAUGUCUGCAUUAUAUUGAAAUUGCAAGUGAUCUAAUUUUGAGUGUUUUGCAUAGAAAUCUUCUUUGUCAAGGCACUCUUCAGAUUCUCUAGAUCAAGCUACCAUCAUGGAGCUUCAAAAUCCUUUUUCGAAUAUCAUCUUCAUUCUCUCCUUUCUCAUCCUCUUAGUUCUAUUCAAAAUAGUUCAAAGAUGGAGUUUUAACAAUUCGACUACCAAAUUGCCACCAGGACCAUGGAAACUACCCCUCAUAGGAAACUUACAUCAGAUUAUCAGCAGAUCAUUGCCCCAUCAUCUCUUCAAAAUUUUGGCAGAUAAAUAUGGACCUCUAAUGCACCUUAAACUAGGAGAGGUACCAUACGUAAUAGUUAGUUCACCAGAAAUUGCCAAAGAGAUUAUGAAAACACAUGAUCUCAACUUCUGCGACAGGCCAAACCUUCUUUUGUCCAAUAUAUAUAGUUACAAUGCUACAGACAUUGCCUUCGCUGCAUACGGUGAACAUUGGAGGCAAUUACGAAAGAUAUGUGUUAUAGAGCUAUUAAGUGCAAAGCGUGUACAAUCAUUUAGGUCCAUAAGAGAAGAUGAGGUGUCAAACCUUGUUAAAUCAAUAACUGCAAGUGAAGGAUCAGUUGUUAAUCUCACUCGGAAGAUUUUCUCAAUGACAAAUGGGAUAACAGCGCGGGCAGCUUUUGGGAAAAGGAAUAGACACCAAGAUGUGUUCAUACCAGCAUUGGAGAAAGUAGUGGUGCUAUUAGGAAGAUUUGAAAUUGCAGAUUUGUAUCCUUCUAUUAAAUUGCUUCAAUGGAUGACUAGGGAGAAGACCAAAAUGGAAAAACUUCAUACAGAGAUUGAUAUGAUAGCACAAGACAUCAUCGACGAUCACAGAAGUAUUCACAAGGAAGCAAGCAAUGAUGAAGAUCUAGUAGAUGUUCUUCUCAAGAUUCAACAGGAAAAUUAUCACUCAGAACAUCCUUUAACCGAUGACAAUAUGAAAUCAAUCAUCCAGGUUAGUCUAAACCGAAAGUGUUAGCAAGUUUAUUUCACAAUUUAAAAACUAGUUUACAAAUUUGCAUACGCUUAGAAGUCAGAUUUCUAGAGGAAAAAUAAAUAAGAUUAUCUUGAUUAAUAAUGCUCAUUCCGUCCCUAUAUCUAAGCAGUAAGCACCCUUUUAUUAGAGGGAAAGGGUGCUUACAUACAGGGACGGGGGGAGUAGUAUUUUGGAGAGACGUCAAAUUAAUGACUUAACUAUUGGGUAGCGUUGUAUGUAAUGUUAAUGUUAAUCCAUUUGUAGGACAUGUUCCUUGCUGGUACCGAAACAUCGUCACAGGUUCUGUUAUGGGCGAUGUCUGAGAUGGUGAAGAACCCAAAGGUAAUGGAAGAAGCACAAGAUGAAGUAAGUAGAGUGUUUGAUAAAAAGGAGUAUGUGGAUGAGACAGAGUUGCACCAAUUGAUAUACUUAAAGUCCGUCAUCAAAGAAACAUUGAGGUUGCAUCCCGUUGCACCAUUGUUAGUUCCAAGAGAAAGUAGGGAGAGAUGCCAAAUCAAUGGGUAUGAAAUCCCAGCUAAGACAAGGGUAAUGGUUAAUGCUUGGGCUAUUGGAAGAGAUUCAAGGUAUUGGGUUGAAGCUGAGAGUUUUAAACCUGAGAGGUUUGUUAAUAGUCCAAUUGAUUUCAAAGGCACGGACUUCGAAUUCAUACCAUUUGGUGCUGGAAGAAGGAUGUGUCCAGGUAUUUCAUUUGCCAUACCCAAUGUUGAGCUGCCUCUUGCUAAGUUACUUUAUCACUUUGAUUGGAAGCUUCCCAAUGGAAUGAGCCAUCAAGAACUUGAUAUGACUGAGUUUUUUGGGAUUACUGUAGGUAGAAAACACGACCUAUGUUUAAUUCCUACUACUCGUCGUCUUUAAUGUGUAUUAUCUAAGCAAACAAAUUCAAAAACAAUGUUCCUAAUAAAAUUUGUAAUGGUAAACUUUACAUAUAGGUUUACUAUAUGUCGUCUAAAAUUUGUGUAUGAUUGUACCACAAAUAUAGAAUAUGUGUCCAAGCAUUGCAUUUGGUUUAGCCAAUGUUGAACUGCGUCUUGCUGAAUUACUUUAUGACUUUGAUUGAAAGCUUUCCAAUGGAAUGAAUAAUGAAGAACAGUCGUUUGGGCUGACAGUCGGAAGAAAACACGACCUAUGUUCGUUUCCUAUUACAGGUUGUCUAUAAUAUUUGUAUUGUGCACUGCCUUUCAAAAAGAAAUAUUUGUAUUGUCUAACCAAAGAAGUUCACAAUGUGGUUAAUUAAUUACUUAUACUACUUUCUGCAAGGCGUCGUGUAAUUCGUUGUUCACAUUUUUAUUAAGAUUCUACGUUUGACAUUAGAUAACUUGAAAAUCCUGGGAUUUCUUCGGUUAAUCAGUUUGUUCCAACUCCUUCAUCAAAUCAAGAUAUGCCAAAGCAUUUGCAUCAUUUUGCACGCCUAUUUUAGUAUGUUUAAUUUGUAAGGAUUAAGAUUUCUCUCUCGGUUUUCUAUGUAGGACCACGAGAAAGAUGCAACUAAUUUCAUUUUUGUGUCAUGUCUCACUUGGUUCUCAGCAUUUGCAAACAUGCAUGUCGGUAAGUAUGUACGAGCAUGAAACAUUAUUCUUGUUAUUCAUUGCCUAUCCAAAAUAAAUAAAUAAAAUAGUUUUUGUAUUCUUUAAUGGGAAAUGCUAAUUAACUUGUCUAUUUAUGAAAUCUUUAACAUGAGUCAUAAGGGUACAAGUUAACAAGACCCUUCAUUAAUUUACCAAGCUUGUUUAAUGUUUUAACUUCAGGGGACACACAAGGAAUGCGGUGAAAGGAAUUUAGCAACAAAUUCAAAAUUCUUUGUGCUUUUGUACCCAAAUAAAUAGAUAUGUUUUUUUUACCUGAAAUCAUUAAAAUUUCAGGUAACGAUAAGUUAAUUAUUAAAGGAGUAAUGCUAGCAACACUCUUUUGAACACACUCUUUAAUACUACAUUUCUUAUUGGUUUAAAUCAUUGUGAGUCUACACUUUGAAAAUUGAACCUACACAAAGUGAUGGGACAUACAUUAAUUUCAUCUAAUAAAAGAGUGGAUGCUACAAAGAGUGUUCAAAAAUAAAUGUUUCUAACAUUACUAUUAUUGAUGUGUUGCCUCUUAUCUCAUUUUAAUAAAAAUCUCACCACUAGUUCAUAUACUUUACCACUAGUUUCUCACACUACACAUUCUAACACUAGGGUUUAUAAUAUCAUUCUGAUUCACGAACUAGUUAAAAGAUGUUGUUUUUUCAAGGGCGAGGGUUUGGUUGUUGCUCUCUUAGUUGCACUCUUAUCCUUUGAAGUUGAUAAAUAAAUGAAACCAAUUACUUCGAUUGAUUAUGAAAGCUCAAAAGACAUAAGUAUAAGGUGUUUUGGAAAGUGGCCCAUAGACCAAAAUUAAUUCAGAUUUUUUUUCCGGUAAGGGUGAUUGAUUUGGUAAUAAUGACAUAUAAUUACAAGUCUAGCAAGACCCUAUUUGAAAAUGAUAGAUUACCAAAUGGAGUUUAUCUGAAAUCACUAGUGUCUCUUGGUUUAACUAUGUAGUGCUAUUAUUAAUUCUUACAAAUAAUUUAUUUGACAUAAUGACCGAAGUAAAUAAUACAUUAAGCUCUUCAAAAUGUUUGUGGAUGAUUUUUUCAUGUGCAUAAUACAAAAAAUAUAAUUCCACAAAAAAAUUGAUAGGAUCAAUUCAAUUUAAUAAGCCCUUGAAGGAAGAUGACAAUCGAGUCUGACAUGGCGUGCUGCAAUUUAAUUAACUCUUAAUCGCAAAUUAUUAAUAUGAUGGUGUUGGACGUUUCAUUUUGACUCCACAAAGUACACCUUAUUCUUCAUGUGUGUCUUACUUUUUAUUAAAUUGCUUUGGACUGGUUGUUCUAUUUUUUACCACACAAAGCACACCUUAUGCUUCAUUUGUGUCUUUAUUAAAUUGCUUUGCAUAUAUUAAAAAAUAAUAAUAAACAACAGGCACAUGUUUGGUGCAAGGAGAAAAUGUUAUUUAACAUGUCUGCAUUAUAUUGAAAUUGCAAGUGAUCUAAUUUUGAGUGUUUUGCAUAGAAAUCUUCUUUGUCAAGGCACUCUUCAGAUUCUCUAGAUCAAGCUACCAUCAUGGAGCUUCAAAACCCUUUUUCGAAUAUCAUCUUCAUGCUCUCCUUUCUCAUCCUCUUAGUUCUAUUCAAAAUAGUUCAAAGAUGGAGUUUUAACAAUUCCACUACCAAAUUGCCACCAGGACCAUGGAAACUACCCCUCAUAGGAAACUUACAUCAGAUUAUCAGCAGAUCAUUGCCCCAUCACCUCUUCAAAAAGUUGGCAGAAAAAUAUGGACCUUUGAUGCACCUUAAACUAGGAGAGGUACCAUAUGUAAUAGUUAGUUCACCAGAAAUGGCAAAAGAGGUUAUGAAAACACAUGACCUUACAUUUUGUGAUAGGCCAAACCUUCUUUUGUCAACAAUAUGGAGUUACAAUGCUACAAAUAUUGUCUUCGCUACAUACUGUGAACAUUGGAGGCAAGUACGAAAGAUAUGUGUUAUAGAGCUAUUAAGUGCAAAGCGUGUCCAAUCAUUUAGGUCCAUAAGAGAAGAUGAAGUGACAAAUCUUGUUAAAUCAAUAACUGCAAGUGAAGGAUCGGUUGUAAAUCUCACUCGGAAGAUUUUCUCAAU